ACCAAUCACUUAAUCCUGCAUUAGUUACUAGCUCAUCAAUGAAUCUCAAUUCAAUCUCUAGGCAUACAUUUUGUAAGCCACAUCACAAGAGAUAAUAACAUACAUGCAUAAGAAUAAUCAUAUGGGCCCAUAGCGUCAUUAGCCGACAUAGGCCCAUUUACAUAACUAAUACUACCUUAAUAACAAGCCAAUGCCUUUGGCUAAAUCAUAAUAUUACAUACUCACAUUAAAACCUUAUACAUGCCAUAGACUCGAAUCACUUGAGUUUACUUACUCCGAUAACGUUAACUCGAUAGGGUGAUAAUAUCUCUGACGGCCUCCAACCUGAGCUAACCUGGAAACUCUAGAAAACAUGGGAAAGAAGGUGGGUAAGCUUUCGCUUAGUAAGUUCAUAUGAAAACAAUAAGCAACUCAUUAACUUGUUUUAUCAAUGUUUACAACAUAUUCUCAAGUUCACUACAAGCUGUCUUCCUGAGCAACAGUCACUAAAUUAUUUAUAUCUGGAGCUACAAAACUCCAAAUUAAGUUCCGUUAAUUUUACCUGAAAAUAGACUCAUUUAUAUUUCUUUCAUAAAAUUUCCAGAAUUUUUUACUUAUCCAAUUAGUACAGUUUAUUCCUCAAGUUUGCUCCUGAUUCACUGUCUGACAGUUUCAACUCUUCUGCGCUAAAGUUCAAUUAUCUCAUAGUACAGGAUUCAAAUAAUGUUCUUGUCUAUUUUUCUUGAAACUAGACUCAUAAUUUUUUUCUAGAAUUUUUUGUCAAGCCAUUUAGUACAUUUUAUUAGUUAAAGUUUCCCCUGUUUCAGGGUAUGACUACUCUGACCCCUGUGCACUACGAAUCAAAUUUCUCCAUGUACAGAAUUCCAAUGACCAUGCCGUUUGUUUCCAUUAAAAAUAUACUCAAUAAGGAAUCUAUGCAGGUAAGGUAUGACUCUUAAUAAUUUUUUUACAAUUUACGGUGAAUUUAUAAAAUCAAAAUAGGGGAUCUUAAAUUCAUUCAGACCCUGUUUCACAAGAAUUUAAAUAUCGCACAAUAUAGAAUUAUUUUUCUUCCUCUAUUUCUUUCAUGUGAAAAUAGACUAAUUAAGAUUUAAUCCCAUAUUUUAUUCUACCUCUAACUCAUUUUCCACUAUUUUUAGUGUAUUUUUAAAGUUACACUACUGCAGUAACUCAAAUCUGUCAAGGCUAAGUUACUCAUUCAUGGUCAUUGUUCAUAAUAUUAAUACAACACCAUUUUAUCCAUCAUGGUAAGAACACAUAUUAUGCAUCAUAGAUCAUAACAUAUCAAGGCAUUCUCAUAGGAUUAGUAUACAUACUUGCACAACUCGUAACAUAACUCGAGUGCAUAAUCACCAAUGACUUACCUCAUUGGGACCAUCAUCAACUCUUUCCUUGGAUUGCCCGUUGAACACUUGGAAUACUAAUUGGAUACUCGGAAAAGCCUUUGCACAUAAGUGCCUCAAUUGUAGCUAAAGCUACCUCAUAUCUCAUGACAUUUCAAUGCUCACUCUCGAGCUAGUCAUCUAGACUCAUAAUUCCUAGUGACAUGUCACUCGUAUCCUAUUCUAUUCUUAAGGUUCAAACGGGAUUUUUUCUCGUCUAUUAAGGCUUUGUCUUAUCAUAUUUCUAUUAAUCACAUACACAUUAAUAUAUGUACAAUUCAUGUAAUGAUAACAUUUAAAUACAUGUAUAGCAUGGUAUUGUUUACAUACGAACUUACCUCGAUACCACAAAGGUGAAAAGGACAUACUCGUCCAUAAAUCGAUUUCUUUCCGUUCUAGGUCCAAGUCUCAAAUUUCAUCAUCUAUAACAUCACAUUUAGCCUACCAAUCAGUCACAAUAUUCAUAUGGGUCUAAAAAUCAUAUUUUUACAAAUUUUCAUUUUGACCCCUAAACUUUUGCAUAUUUUCACUUUUGCCCCAAUGCUCGUAAAUUAAUUUUUAUCACAUUUAUUUACUCCUUGAGUCUAGAUGAACCAUUUUCAUAACUAUAGCAACUCAUAAUUUCAACUAUUUUACACAUUUACAACUCAUUUUACAACUUAGCAAUUUACCCCUUUUUAAGGUAUUUUCAUGCAAUUUCUUUCACAAAAGUUGUUUAUUAGACAACUAGGACUCAUAAUCUUCCAUAAAAACACAGCAAACAACACAUUUACUCUCAUGGUAAAACCCUAGACUCUUCAUCAUUUUGCAAAAUAAUCCCCUCUUAUGAAAGCUUAUGCUUUAGGGGUUCCAAAAAUACAAAAAUCAUCAAGCAAAGACAUUAAAAUCACUUACACGCAAGGGAAAUAUGUUGCUGAAAUUUUCCAGCUUCAAAACCCUUUCUUUGCUGCAUAUUUCGG
rnacentral:lncRNA from 1 species